rnacentral:rRNA from 1 species
GAUUGAACGCUGGCGGUAUGCUUAACACAUGCAAGUCGAACGGAAACGAUACUAGCUUGCUAGUAGGCGUCGAGUGGCGGACGGGUGAGUAACGCGUAGGAAUCUGCCUGAUAGUGGGGGAUAGCCCGAAGAAAUUCGGAUUAAUACCGCAUAAUCUAUUCGUAGUAAAGUGGGGGACUUUCGAGCCUCACGCUAUCAGAUGAGCCUGCGUAAGAUUAGCUAGUUGGUAGGGUAAAAGCCUACCAAGGCAACGAUCUUUAGCUGGUCUGAGAGGAUGAUCAGCCACAUCGGGACUGAGACACGGCCCGAACUCCUACGGGAGGCAGCAGUGGGGAAUAUUGGACAAUGGGGGCAACCCUGAUCCAGCAAUACCGCGUGUGUGAAGAAGGCCUGAGGGUUGUAAAGCACUUUCAAUUGUGAAGAAAAGUUAACGGUUAAUAACCGUUAGCCUUGACGUUAACUUUAGAAGAAGCACCGGCUAACUCCGUGCCAGCAGCCGCGGUAAUACGGAGGGUGCAAGCGUUAAUCGGAAUUACUGGGCGUAAAGCGUGCGUAGGCGGUUUAUUAAGUCAGAUGUGAAAGCCCCGGGCUUAACCUGGGAACUGCAUUUGAAACUGGUCAACUAGAGUAUGGUAGAGGAAAGUGGAAUUUCUGGUGUAGCGGUGAAAUGCGUAGAUAUCAGAAGGAACAUCAAUGGCGAAGGCAGCUUUCUGGACCAAUACUGACGCUGAGGUACGAAAGCGUGGGUAGCAAACAGGAUUAGAUACCCUGGUAGUCCACGCCGUAAACGAUGAUAACUAGCCGUUGGGGGGAUUUACCCUUUAGUGGCGAAGCUAACGCGUUAAGUUAUCCGCCUGGGGAGUACGGCCGCAAGGUUAAAACUCAAAGGAAUUGACGGGGACCCGCACAAGCGGUGGAGCAUGUGGUUUAAUUCGAUGCAACGCGAAGAACCUUACCUGGUCUUGACAUCCUGCGAACUUUCUAGAAAUAGAUUGGUGCCUUCGGGAACGCAGUGACAGGUGCUGCAUGGCUGUCGUCAGCUCGUGUCGUGAGAUGUUGGGUUAAGUCCCGUAACGAGCGCAACCCCUAUCCUUAUUUGCCAGCACGUCAUGGUGGGAACUAUAAGGAGACUGCCGGUGAUAAACCGGAGGAAGGCGGGGACGACGUCAAGUCAUCAUGGCCCUUACGACCAGGGCUACACACGUGCUACAAUGGGAAGGACAAAGAGCCGCGAAGCCGCGAGGUGUAGCUAAUCUCAGAAACCUUUUCGUAGUCCGGAUUGGAGUCUGCAACUCGACUCCAUGAAGUCGGAAUCGCUAGUAAUCGUAGAUCAGAAUGCUACGGUGAAUACGUUCCCGGGUCUUGUACACACCGCCCGUCA